GGGGGAAAAGGAUUUUAUUUUUCAUCUGAUUACCAUCAUUUUCUCUCCCUCUCUCGGGUCUAAGAGUGGGAUGGAUGUAGGAAGAGGAAGGAGUUGUACUAAUAUGGGUUACUGAAAUGUUAUUGGCCCAUGUUAAAUACAGAAAUGGAGGGUUUAGAAAUGUUUAAGGUGAUUUUACUUUGCCACAGUGUCCAAGCACCUGAUCAAUGGACUUGUCUUGAUGAAGAGGGCAGUGGUGAGCAUUUGGGGUGCUGUUGAAUUUGUGUGGUGGCUCACACACACUAGGACCACAUAUCCUCCCUCAAAAUUUUGGAAAUUUUAAAAAACUCAUCCUUAACUGCAGAGAGUUUAUAAAAUAUAUUGUCAAAGAUAACAUAGCCCUAGUCACAUGGUAAGGAAAAGCCAACAAUCAAGAAAUGCUUGGAAACUGAGAAAUGGUAAAGGCAGGAGUACAAAGGAGGUGAAGAGAAUGGUCACGGUAGGUUGAGGUGAAACAGGAAGUCGAUCCUUGGAGAUGAAUCCUCAGAGGGUCUUGAAAAAAAAAGUUGGCAAAUAUUAAGGGGUAGAAGGAUGUUUCAAGAGAGAGGAAGCUGUGAGCGAAGGCAUGGAGGCCUAUGCAGAAGAUGUGAAGGCCAUGCACAUUAUUUGCUGAUUGAAAUAGAAAGGUCAAGAGUCUGGGUUCUGCCAUUUGGCAACCGUCCUAAUGAUAAUUGAUUGAAGUAAGAACAUUAAUGGAUGCUAAGGAGUGGGCAAGUUUGAGAAAUAACAGACUAUUUAGAUAGUCUCAAAGUAUCCGCCCUCCAGAUUCUUAAUGACAAAGCAAAACUAAUAACCCUCCAAUGAUAAAACCUAGCAGAUACCACCUUAAUUAACUGAUCAGUUAGUGUUACAAGAGAUGAGAAAAAUCCACAGCAUUUGCCUCCUGAUGUGAUGCACUGGGGAAAACACAACAACACAACAUCAUAUUUGUGUUAUUCCUGCAAAAAAAAAAAAAAAAAUAGCAUAACCUAAAUCUACUCAUGAGGAAACAUCACGCAAAUGUCACUUGAAAAACAUUCUACAAAAUAGCUGGUCCGUAUUCUUCAAAAAUGUCAAUAUCAUGAAAGACAAAGAUUGAGGAAGUGUUGCAGAUUAAAGGAGACUGCAGACACGUGACAACUGAAUGCAAUGCAUGACGUGGGAUUAUCUUUUGCUUUAAAGCAAAAUGUUGUUCUUUAAAGGACAGUUUUGGGACAAUUGGUGAAAUCUGAAUAAGGUCUGUUUACUAGAUAAAGGAUAAAGACAGAGGAACAAAUACCAGACCAGCAAACUUACCUGAAUCCAGCUGCCCUCAGAAUAUGGCUGAGGCUUGGUCAAAGCCCAGAACUUAGCAAGGGUUAGAGGACAUCAUGGGACCAUAUUCCCAGUCACUCCAGUUGCUGGGAGCAUGAAUACAAUGGCUGGAGCUCUAGUUAACAAUUUAGCCCAUGGGGACAAUGCCACACUGAUUUAGGAAAUGGCAGAGCUGGAAGGAGUCUAGAAGAAGAUGAAAGUUUCUCCAGAUUCUAUUGAGUGCUGUUACUAUAGAAGCCCUGGCCUUCUUAUCUCUGGCCUAUAUGUGAGAGAGAAACAAAGCUUGUUUAAGCCACU
rnacentral:lncRNA from 1 species